GAACUGAAGCUCAGGCUAGAGACAGAGCUUUUGAGAGGAUGAUUGGCUCAACAUAUAAAAACUGAUGAGUCCCUCAAAGGAGAAAAGAGACUGGACUGGGAUAAGGCAGCAGGGGUAGAAACAGCAGAGAAUGAGAGGAAUGACCAGAAGGCCACCCAACACAGGCCACAUAAUGGUGUCCCAAAAAUGAGAUGCAAGGGAUGUUCUGGAUGCCUGUUCCAAACUCCCACUCUGAUGGAAAAAAGACCAGGAGCUCCCAGCACAGAUGUACGUUUUAAAAGUGAAUGAAUAGAUUUAGCCGCUCCUCCAGCCCUCCUGCUUCGCCUGUGUAAGUCUGCAAGUCUGUCAGUGGGUAAGAAACCGUUCGUGGACUGACACUGGUCUGAGAGAGAACUGUUAUCCGGAGAACUGUUAUCAAUUGCAUGAUCCCAUACUUCGUAAACCCUGCAAUGGUCAUUCUUUGAGUGAACUCCAUUUCUAGCAGGUUCCAGAUGAGCAUCUUGACUUCCUUUGACUUCUCUCACCCCUUAGGGUGGCGGAAAUUCAGACCACUCUACUUGGAUCUUCACACCAAGAAAGAGGGUGAGGCCAAGGCUGGGUUAGAAUGGAGACAUGAUGACUUUGGAGAACCCAUGAUGACAAGACUUAUCAUACUUCCGUGGGACCACACAGUGCAAUGUCGGGGGAGGAGAGGACAAAAGUUGUAGCCCAUAGUUUCCUCGGCAAAAUCCCUGAGUUUCAGAGCAGCACUGAGCUUUCCAGAGGUAAGAGAGAUUCACAGGCUUGACGUCCCUGUGAGGACACUAUUUGAGUGAGGGCACUGGAUAUCCUCAUGAUAUUCUCUAUUUCAGAAAAAUAAUCCUGUGCUUGGCUGAAGAAUUUUCCAUGACAAUCACUUCACUUCCUCCCAUCACACAGGCUUUCACUAGCAUCCACAGUCCUAUGUGUGUGGGCAGUGGGAGGCCCUCCUGUGACA